rnacentral:rRNA from 1 species
UACGAAGGGGGCUAGCGUUGCUCGGAUUGACUGGGCGUAAAGGGCGCGUAGGCGGUUCGUACAGUCAGACGUGAAAUUCCUGGGCUCAACCUGGGGGCUGCGUUUGAUACGUGCGGACUUGAGUGCGGAAGAGGGUCGUGGAAUUCCCAGUGUAGAGGUGAAAUUCGUAGAUAUCGGGAAGAACACCCGUGGCGAAGGCGGCACUCUGGGACGGUACUGACGCUGAGACGCGAAAGCGUGGGGAGCGAACAGG